CUUGACCGAGCCGAGCAGCAGCGGCCGGUCCGGGUCCCGGUCCCGCCCGUACGUCGCCAGCAGGGCCUGCGCCUC
rfam:Couchioplanes caeruleus subsp. caeruleus strain DSM 43634 Cont001, whole genome shotgun sequence.